rnacentral:rRNA from 1 species
AGUGGCGGACGGGUGAGUAACGCGUGAGAAUCUGCCUUGGGGUCGGGGACAACCACUGGAAACGGUGGCUAAUACCGGAUAAGCCGAUUGGUGAAAGAUUUAUUGCCCGAAGAGGAGCUCGCGUCUGAUUAGCUAGUUGGUGAGGUAAGAGCUCACCAAGGCAGCGAUCAGUAGCUGGUCUGAGAGGACGAUCAGCCACACUGGGACUGAGACACGGCCCAGACUCCUACUGGAGGCAGCAGUGGGGAAUUUUCCGCAAUGGGCGAAAGCCUGACGGAGCAAGACCGCGUGAGGGAGGAAGGCUCUUGGGUUGUAAACCUCUUUUCUCAGGGAAGAAGCUCUGACGGUACCUGAGGAAUCAGCCUCGGCUAACUCCGUGCCAGCAGCCGCGGUAAUACGGAGGAGGCAAGCGUUAUCCGGAAUUAUUGGGCGUAAAGCGUCCGCAGGUGGCGAUUCAAGUCUGCUGUCAAAGUACGGGGCUUAACUCCGUAAAGGCAGUGGAAACUGAAUAGCUAGAGUGCCGUAGGGGUAGAGGGAAUUCCCGGUGUAGCGGUGAAAUGCGUAGAGAUCGGGAAGAACAUCGGUGGCGAAAGCGCUCUACUGGACGGCAACUGACACUCAGGGACGAAAGCUAGGGGAGCGAAUGGGAUUAGAUACCCC